rnacentral:misc_RNA from 1 species
GUAUUUUUUUUUCUAGUUUACUGGAAAGAGAUUUGGCGUGUCUUUUCUAAAGUACGCUUAAAGUUAUAGCUAGUCGCUGAAAAAGUGCCAAAGCAAAAAUUGUUUGAAACUCUUUAGAGUAACCUACAUUUUUGAUUUGGAUAAACGCUUUCUCUGGUGGUUAGCUCAAAGGAUUCUUUAUUGAACCAGGAGGUUUUAAUUAACCCGAA